UUCACUGCAGAAGUGGUAUCUCCCAGUGGCUCUCCUCCUCUUGAUGCUGUGUCCUCCAUCACUCCAUUUCCUCUCAUUCUGUUUCUCCUUGAGGACGGAUUCAGGCCUUGGUGCACGGCAUCUCUUUGAUUUUCAUCCUGUCCCUCCACACUUUGAACAAAGGAAGAGAAAGGAUUGCAAGGUCACAUAAAGAAGUAUCCCAGAAGAAAGUUUGCCGCCUGCCGGAAUCCUUUACCCCUCGAACCAACUCCCACAUGGAAGCAAAAGCCAAAGGGGCAUCGAAGUCUGCCUCCAAAGCAGAAAAAAAGGAGGCACCACCACCAUCAAAGCCAGACCCCGUCCCCGCUGAACCAACCCCUACUGCAGCGCCCGAACCCGAGAAGUCAGCAGAUGGAGCUACCGACCAACAGGGGGCGACAGAGUCGGGAGGGUGCAGCUGUGAAAUGUUAGAAAGCUUGAAGCCUUUACUGAUUGGAGGAGCUGUAGUUGCCCUCGGAGCUGUAUUGGUGGGCGUAAUCUUAUUAGCCAGGAAAAACUGACCUUAGGCCUGUGAUUGGUUAUUAAAUGGCGGGUUGAUUAGUUCACAGACUAUAAAGUGGCAGAGGCACCAGGCUUCUUAAUUUUCCGCUGUAUUUUAAUUUCAGUGCUUGUGGUGACGUUGCUGUCAGCUUUAAAAAAAAAAAAACAGCACAUGCAUUUAGCCAAAAAUAUAGCCGAACGCAACUUUUAUUUUGAACAACAUGCGUCCCAGUUUUAACCCACACAUAUUUACAGCACAACCACAGAAUGUUUAAACCCUAACCUAUUCCAUAUCAGUCCAAAUCCAUACUGUAAACUAAAGGUGAAUGUAUUGUACGGGAUGCUUUGACAUCUAUUGCAGUUUGUAUAUUAAAAGGAGGUGUAGAAAUGUAAAGAAAUUCUCAACUGUAAUUUUCAAAGAUGUACACGUGAGCGGAUUUUUCUAUAAUAAUGGUUAUAUUAUGUUGUAGUCAGUUCUAGCAAACAGUCUGUAUGUGACAUCACCCCAAACCAAAAUGCAGCCAUUCAGUAAUCAUCCUGCACUGUAUAUUAUGUACUAUAGAGGAUUUGUGUCAUUUCAAAUUCUUAGUUUAUUGUCUGAAAGAUGUUGACGCUUUUCUGAAUGACUAUUACAAAGUGGACCACUGGAAAUAGAUUAGCGUGUGCAACAUAGACUUUGACGGCUCUCGGCCAAUAGUUUCAAUUUCACAGUUACACUAUGAUGAGCGGUACACAAAUGCAUGCAGACACAAGCAAUAUACACUCACACGUCACAUUGCAUACUGUUACUAAAAAGAACAUUUUCUUUAAAGUGCGUAUAUAAUGCAAUAAUUCAAAUAGGACUCUGUAAUUAAAAGUUAAAAAAUCAGAUUAAGGUUAUGUUGACAGUUCUAGCUGUGAUGUUGAUAAAAAUUAUGUCGGUGAUGAUGUAGCAAAGAGGCGGUUGUCAUGGUGACGAUGAUGAUGUUGGUGAUGAAUGCGUACAAUUUUAUUUGUUAGUUAUAAAGAGCUUUACUUAUACUUCUGAUGUGGCCCCUUUCCUACUGCCAUAUGUGUUUAUUUUUCACGAACUUUCGCCUGCUGCCUUCCUGCUGUUCCUUAUGUGAAAUGAAAAUUGCUCCCUUGUGACUUGAUGACAUAUUAAAGGGCAAUGAUCCAGA